rnacentral:rRNA from 1 species
CAGUAGCCGCGGUAAUACAGAGGGUGCGAGCGUUAAUCGGAUUUACUGGGCGUAAAGCGUGCGUAGGCGGCUUUUUAAGUCGGAUGUGAAAUCCCUGAGCUUAACUUAGGAAAUGCAUUCGAUACUGGGAAGCUAGAGUAUGGGAGAGGAUGGUAGAAUUCCAGGUGUAGCGGUGAAAUGCGUAGAGAUCUGGAGGAAUACCGAUGGCGAAGGCAGCCAUCUGGCCUAAUACUGACGCUGAGGUACGAAAGCAUGGGGAGCAAACAGGAUUAGAUACCCCGGUAGUCCCUGUCUCUUAUAC